DNGRCCBCGACUGUAUGCCCACCCGCCUACUUCCAAACGUAGCAGUGGAAGUUUGGUGAACCUUAUCACUUACCAGGAAGGAUCUUUCGUAACACGGUCUCCGUAGGUGAACCUGCGGAAGGAUCAUUCUC
rnacentral:rRNA from 1 species